CUAGUACUAUUAACUUUUUGGCUAAGAUCAAGUGUUAUAUCUGUUAUCAGUUAAAUAUUGGAUACAUCCUCCAUCUGAGGACAGUAUAUUAAAUGGAUUUUUGGAAAUUCAUUCUCU
rfam:Ornithorhynchus anatinus chromosome 2, whole genome shotgun sequence.